rnacentral:rRNA from 1 species
GACGAACGCUGGCGGCGUGCUUAACACAUGCAAGUCGAACGGAAAGGCCCUGCUUUUGUGGGGUGCUCGAGUGGCGAACGGGUGAGUAACACGUGAGUAACCUGCCCUUGACUUUGGGAUAACUUCAGGAAACUGGGGCUAAUACCGGAUAGGAGCUCCUGCUGCAUGGUGGGGGGUGGAAAGUUUCGGCGGUUGGGGAUGGACUCGCGGCUUAUCAGCUUGUUGGUGGGGUAGUGGCUUACCAAGGCUUUGACGGGUAGGCGGCCUGGGAGGGUGACCGGCCACAUUGGGACUGAGAUACGGCCCAGACUCCUACGGGAGGCAGCAGUGGGGAAUAUUGCACAAUGGGCGGAAGCCUGAUGCAGCAACGCCGCGUGCGGGAUGACGGCCUUCGGGUUGUAAACCGCUUUCGCCUGUGACGAAGCGUGAGUGACGGUAAUGGGUAAAGAAGCACCGGCUAACUACGUG